UACGAAGGGAGCUAGCGUUGUUCGGAAUCACUGGGCGUAAAGCGCACGUAGGCGGAUGUGUCAGUCAGGGGUGAAAUCCCGGAGCUCAACUUCGGAACUGCCUUUGAUACAGCACGUCUUGAGUCCGAUAGAGGUGGGUGGAAUUCCUAGUGUAGAGGUGAAAUUCGUAGAUAUUCGGAAGGACACCAGUGGCGAAGGCGACUUACUGGACACAUAUUGACGCUGAGGUGCGAAAGCGUGGGGAGCGAACAGG
rnacentral:rRNA from 1 species